AGCGCCGAGCGGUGCGGGGCGGGGACCUGAACGCCGACCUGGCGCGCACUCUGCAGUGCACACCUGCCCGCUCCACGGAACCGGACGAGCUUCUGAGCCUUCUCUGAAGUGUGUCCUCGCCCUGCCGUGCGCACUCUCCCGGGGUCUCCGGUCCAGGUCCAGCUCCCCAGGGGUCUCCAGGCCUCUCCCGGAGGGUUUCCAGGCCCCUCUCCCUGGGCCCGUGCCGCAUCUGAGGACCCUGUACCCAUUUGGUGCUUUGUACACCUGCAUCUCUAAGGACUUGCUGCUUUGGGUUUGUGUUUGUUUUUUAAUUUUAUGGCUGCACCCAAUUUUAUGGCAUAUGGGGAUUCCCAGGUCAGGGACUGAAUCCGAGCUGCAGCUGCGACCUACCUGCAGCAAGCAGGACCCUUUUAACCCACUGCACAGGGCAUGGAAUCAAACCCGAAGCCUUGGAGCCACUUCAGUGGGAUUCUUAACCCACUUCACCGCAGACGAAAUCCAGUGGGCAAGACGUAAGCUCUUAAGGAGCCCUGUCAGGAUACCUAAAAUUCUGAAAGAGUGGAAUUAGCAGGGAGGUUCAUUCAUGAAGGUUAAGUCUGAAGAAGGUGAGUAGUUUACUGGUACAGGGGGAAAAGAAAACCUUCUUAGACUCAUUGGACAAGAAAAGAGAUCAGCCCAGCAGUCCUGAAACUGGGGCAAUCAGACGCCAUCUCAUGGCAACUUACCUAGAAGGGACAGUUGUGGGCCUAGCGGGUCGUCUAAGAACAGGGGUGACAGUUGACAAGUCUUUGAAAUAGUUUCAUUUCUGUAGAACUCAUGGAGGAGGGACUCAAAGCAAUGGAGCCACACACACAGAAGAUGGAGUACUGACUUCUCCCUCUUCCUCUAGGUUUGCAGCACCUCACGCUGGUAAACAAUUCCAAGUGCAUCUGCUGCAGGUAAGACGUCUGCGUUCAUUGCUACCCCGGGGCUGCAGGAAUGACAGGAUUUCUCUCUGAACCCGAGGAGGCUCACAGGGCAGGCAUGCAGACUUCUCAGCUCGGGAGUUCCCAUUGCGGCUCAGCGAAAACGACUGACUAGUAUCCAUGAGGACGCAGGUUCAAUCACUGGCCUCGCUCAGUGGGUUAAGGAUCCGUCGUUGCCAUGGCUGUGGCGUAGGCCAGCAGCUACAGCUCUGAAUCAGCCUCCUAGCCUGGGAACCUCCAUAUGCCCCGGGCGUGACCGUAAAAAGACAAAAAAAAAAAAAACAAAAAAAACUUCUUAGCUCGCAUGUUUUCCUUUUAAUUUGAUUCCCUGGAAAAUAGAUUUGGUUUUUUAAAAAGUAAAACAGUUCAUC
rnacentral:lncRNA from 1 species